AACGAACGCUGGCGGCAGGCUUAACACAUGCAAGUCGAACGCCCCGCAAGGGGAGUGGCAGACGGGUGCGUAACGCGUGGGAAUCUACCCAUCCCUACGGAAUAACGCAUGGAAACGUGUGCUAAUACCGUAUACGCCCUACGGGGGAAAGAUUUAUCGGGGAUGGAUGAGCCCGCGUUGGAUUAGCUAGUUGGUGGGGUAAAGGCCUACCAAGGCGACGAUCCAUAGCUGGUCCGAGAGGAUGAUCAGCCACAUUGGGACUGAGACACGGCCCAAACUCCUACGGGAGGCAGCAGUGGGGAAUAUUGGACAAUGGGCGCAAGCCUGAUCCAGCCAUGCCGCGUGAGUGAUGAAGGCCUUAGGGUUGUAAAGCUCUUUCACCGGAGAAGAUAAUGACGGUAUCCGGAGAAGAAGCCCCGGCUAACUUCGUG
rnacentral:rRNA from 1 species